CGGACGGGUGAGUAACGCGUGAGAAUCUGGCUUCAGGUCGGGGACAACAGUUGGAAACGACUGCUAAUACCGGAUGUGCCGAAAGGUAAAAGGCUUGCUGCCUGAAGAUGAGCUCGCGUCUGAUUAGCUAGUAGGUGUGGUAAGAGCGCACCUAGGCGACGAUCAGUAGCUGGUCUGAGAGGAUGAUCAGCCACACUGGGACUGAGACACGGCCCAGACUCCUACGGGAGGCAGCAGUGGGGAAUUUUCCGCAAUGGGCGAAAGCCUGACGGAGCAAUACCGCGUGAGGGAGGAAGGCUCUUGGGUUGUAAACCUCUUUUCUCAGGGAAGAAAUUUUGACGGUACUUGAGGAAUAAGCAUCGGCUAACUCCGUGCCAGCAGCCGCGGUAAUACGGAGGAUGCAAGCGUUAUCCGGAAUGAUUGGGCGUAAAGCGUCCGCAGGUGGCAGUGAAAGUCUGCUGUCAAAGAGUCUGGCUCAACCAGAUAAAGGCAGUGGAAACUACACAGCUAGAGUGAGGUAGGGGCAGAGGGAAUUCCUGGUGUAGCGGUGAAAUGCGUAGAGAUCAGGAAGAACACCGGUGGCGAAAGCGCUCUGCUGGACCGCAACUGACACUGAGGGACGAAAGCUAGGGGAGCGAAUGGGAUUAGAUACCCCAGUAGUC
rnacentral:rRNA from 1 species